UCAAAAUGGCUACGAACAAGAGAUUUGUAUAGAGUUAAAAGAAUUUUAGGAUCAGAGCCCCAGUAUGUUCCAGCAAGAGACCUCAAAAUAUUCAGUGCCUUUGUAGCUCUGUCAGUUACACAAUCAACAUAUUUACCCCAGGAUACAUUGUUAAGAAACAACACACCCAAGAACUUAGCUUCUGUUACAGCUGGGAGUUCUGUACUAUCAUAAUAUAAUUUGACCUGAAAAGGCCUUCCUUUAUUGAAUACUAAUACUUUGGAUUUCUCUAUACUUAUGUCUAAGGCAAGAUAAUUAAAAUAGGCAGACCAAUGGAAACAAGCUCUGAAGACAGAAUAUGAUGAUUUACGUUAUUGAAAGCCCCUACUACAUCAAAAAAUACACUGGCCAAAACAUUAUUGGAUUUGAAUGCUUGAAAGAUGUCCAAAUGUAAAUGGGCAAUACUCUCUCUAGAAGAUCUGCCCUUUCUAAACCCAAAUUGAUUAGAAGAUGAUAUUGCUGACAUUAAUUCGGCAAAUGAAAAUGGUUCGAAACACAGACGAAGAUCUAAUUAUGUAUUUCUUCUUAGCUUGAAGCUUUUUAAAGUUUACAUAAUUCUCUUCAGUUGGGUCAUCUUUGAAUUGGAGGUGAUAGCUGCCUAAUGGAUCGUCGAAGACCAUCCAGUCACCUUGUAAAGAGAUGGAAGGAGAGACUAUGGUUAAAUCCAAGACAUUAGGUCUCCAUAUGUGAGAGCCGACUGUAGUAACAUGACCAUCAUUAAGUAGGACUAAAUUGUUUUU